UACGUAGGGGGCUAGCGUUGUCCGGAAUCAUUGGGCGUAAAGCGCGUGUAGGCGGUCCGGUAAGUCCGCCGUGAAAGUCGGGGGCUCAACCCUCGAAUGCCGGUGGAUACUGUCGGGCUAGAGUACGGAAGAGGUGAGUGGAAUUCCUGGUGUAGCGGUGAAAUGCGCAGAUAUCAGGAGGAACACCGGUGGCGAAGGCGCCACUCUGGGCCGGUACUGACGCUGAGGAGCGAAAGCGUGGGGAGCGAACAGG
rnacentral:rRNA from 1 species